rnacentral:rRNA from 1 species
CCUACGGGGGACAGCAGUGGGGAAUAUUGGGCAAUGGGCGCAAGCCUGAACCAGCAAUGCCGCGUGAAGGAAGAAGGCUUUCUGGAUGUAAACUUCUUUGACAGGGGAAGAGCAGCACACGGUACCCUGAAGACAAGCCACGGCUAACUACGUGCCAGCAGCCGCGGUAAUACGUAGGUGGCAAGCGGUGUCCGGAUUUACUGGGGGUAAAGGGCGUGUAGCCGGGAAGGCAAGUCAGAUGUGAAAUCUGGAGUCUCAACCUCCAAAUUGCAUUUGAAACUGUUUGUCUUGAGUGCGGGAGAGGCAGACGGAAUGCGUGGUGUAGCGGUGAAAUGCGUAGAUAUAAGGAGGAACACCAGUGGCGAAGGCGGUCUGCUGGACAGCAACUGACGGUGAGGCGCGAAAGCGUGGGGAGCAAACAGGAUUAGAUACCCGAGUAGUU